rnacentral:lncRNA from 1 species
GGAGAUCAAGACCACCCUGGCUAACACGGUGAAACCCUGUCUUUACCAAAAAUACAAAAAAUUAGCCAGGCCUGGUGGCGGGCACCUGUAGUCCCAGCUACUCANNNNNNNNNNNNNNNNNNNNNNNNNNNNNNNNNNNNNNNNNNNNNNNAGAAGAAUGCCUGGCACAUUCAGUUGUUUAGUAGUGGCUAAUGUUAUAAUCAUUAAUAAAAUAAGGGAAUACAAUAAAUAGCACUAUCCUAAAUUUGCACCAAGUUGAUAGCCAAUAGCCGUAUUCUAUCUUGAAUAAUUAAAAUUAAAUAAAAUUAAAAUUUCAGUUCCUAGUUACACUAGCCACAUUUCACUGCGUCUCAAGAGCCACAGUAGCUAGUGGUUACCAUACGGGACAGAAUAGUCAUAGGGCAUUCCAUCAUUGUAGAGCAUUCUAUUGGACAGCACUAGGCUAGAUGUUCUCUAAGCCACCUUCCAGUUCUAAUAGUUUUGAAUUCUAUGAAAUGCAAUUCUAAGCCAGUGUAUCCUUCCACCAGCUGAUGAGCUCAGUGUCUUCAGUAAAUACAAGUUCCCUCAUAGACCUAAACUAAGCUAAAAAGAAAGGAAAAUCUGCUGUCAACAACAAAAAGUUAAAAAUCAAAAAUGAUAUACUCCAAAGUUCACUCAGAAUUAAUCUGGACAAUCCAUUGUUUUCGGUUUUUGGGUUUUUUGUUGUUUUUGUUGUUGUUGGGUUUUUUGGUUGUUUUUGUUUUUGUUUUUUUUGAGACACGUUAUUGUUCUGUAUCCCAGGCUGGAGUUUAGUAGUGCAAUCUUGGCUCACCGCAGGCUCUGCUCCCUGAGCUCAAGCAAUUCUCCCACCUCAGCCUCCCAAGUAGCUGGAACGUCAGGCACGGGCCACCACGCUUGGCUAAUUUGUUGUAUUUUUAGUAGAGACAUGGUCUCGCCAUGUUGGCCAGGCUCAUUAUUUUUAAAUCACAUGCAUUAAGACUCCUCUGCACAGUUUGAAAGUAUCAUUACUAACAGCACUGGCCUGGUAGGAAACACUGGAAAAGGUCAUCCAGCAGCUUAAGGAGGCUGGGAGAGAAGAGUUGGAGAAGGAAGAAGAGUUGGGGAGGAGGCUAGAGACACAGAGGACCUGUUCCUCCCUCCUGCUUUCCUUUUCCUUCCUGGAUUGGCCAACCUCUAGCUGACGCUUGGGGGAGGAGGAGGAAAGGGAGGUCUUCUGUGGGGCCAUUUGGUCCAGAGCAAGAGAAGCUGGCAUGGAGGAGGACAGGGUAGAGGAGGUACCACCAAGGACAGCAGGCUUACAAUUCUUCCUUCCCUGCACCUCCCCUUCCCCACCCGGCACUCAUCCAGACCUGGAUCCUAUGGAAAUCACGGGUAAACAACCUGUUGCUAAGCAAACAUCACAAGAAGCAGGUGCCAGAGAGCAUCCACUGAUAACCGGGGCUUACAGAGGGGAGGGAAGACAAUCUCAGAGGAACGGAAGAGGUGCUCCUAGGCCUAGACCUAGCCUAGAGAACCUGCUGGCUAUAGCCCAGAUAAGGAAAAGAGAGGGCCUGAGAAGGAAGGCAGGGAGGCAGUCAGACAAGGGACACUGCUGUUCCCACCCCUGUCCUGCCA